UGCAUGUGUAAGCGAAGCGAUAUGUGGAGCGGUGAAAGGCUCAGUAACGGGCGAUUUAUUUGAUCUCCUGGGACGGACAACAUCGGGAAACUGAUGGGAAAACGUCUAAGUUGCAGUUAAAUGAUUGUGACGUAAACCAUAGUGUGCAGGAGAGUAAGAUGCCAUCCUAUCAGUUAGUAAGUAGGGUAAGGGCCUACUUAGACGAAGACGGGUACGGGGAAUGAGGGUUUGAUUCCGGAGAGGGAGCCUGAGAGAUGGCUACCAGGACCAAGGUCAGCAGCAGGCGCGAAAAUUAUCGAAGCCCGCCUAGGGGCGAUAGUGAGGAGACGUGUAUACGAAGUACGUGUAAAGACCGUACUAAUAACUGGAGGUCAAGUCUGGUGCC
rnacentral:rRNA from 1 species